UACGUAGGGGGCGAGCGUUGUCCGGAAUCAUUGGGCGUAAAGAGCGUGUAGGCGGGCCGGUAGGUCUGGUGUGAAAGCCCGGGGCUCAACCCCGGAGGGUCACUGGAAACCCCCGGUCUUGAAUCUGGAAGAGGAGAGUGGAAUUCCUGGUGUAGCGGUGGAAUGCGCAGAUAUCAGGAGGAACACCAAUGGCGAAGGCAGCUCUCUGGUACAUGAUUGACGCUGAGACGCGAAAGCGUGGGGAGCGAACAGG
rnacentral:misc_RNA from 1 species